GAAAAGAGUAAUCAGAAUGCAUGACGCAGCACAACCCAAAAUGAACAGGAAAUGAAAUUCAAAAACCAAAUGUUGAUUAUAAAUGAGACACAUAGAUUCCAACAUCAUCCAUUUCCAAUUUUAGCCAUUGAGAAUUGGAGAAAAAACCCACUAAAUGAUAAGUUUCUUCCCAUGAUGGAUGAUGCCUCAGAAACAACAACUAUUAAUAUGAACUAAGCUAAAAGUUCAAAUUUUGAGAAGUAAAACAGAAAGCAAAGCAAACACCAAGGAAAACAUAAGCAAAUGCAUGUCAAAAUGACUAUAUAAGAGAAGACUAAAA
rnacentral:misc_RNA from 1 species